rnacentral:rRNA from 1 species
UGACGGUAUCAUAUGAAUAAGCACCGGCUAACUCCGUGCCAGCAGCCGCGGUAAUACGGGGGGUGCAAGCGUUACUCGGAAUCACUGGGCGUAAAGAGCAUGUAGGCGGGUGAAUAAGUUGGAAGUGAAAUCCUAUAGCUUAACUAUAGAACUGCUUCCAAAACUGUUCACCUAGAGUAUGGGAGAGGUAGAUGGAAUUUCUGGUGCAGGGGUAAAAUCCGUAGAGAUCAGAAGGAAUACCGAUUGCGAAGGCGAUCUACUGGAACAUUACUGACGCUCAGAUGCGAAAGCGUGGGGAGCAAACAGGAUUAGAUACCCUGGUAGUCCACGCCCUAAACGAUGUACACUAGUUGUUGCUAUACUAGAUAUGGCAGUAAUGCAGUUAACACUUUAAGUGUACCGCCUGGGGAGUACGGUCGCAAGAUUAAAACUCAAAGGAAUAGACGGGGACCCGCACAAGCGGUGGAGCAUGUGGUUUAAUUCGACGAUACGCGAAAAACCUUACCUGGCCUUGACAUAGUAGGAAUCUUUAAGAGAUUAGAGAGUGCUAGCUUGCUAGAACCUACAUACAGGUGCUGCACGGCUGUCGUCAGC